rnacentral:lncRNA from 1 species
GUGGGGAAAUUUUAAGGACAUCUACCAACACCUGGUGAACCAGCACCUGGCUUGGAGCUGGCAUUCGGUUUGCCCAAAAUUGUGAACAGGGAUUGCAAUUAUCCCAGCUAUUUGCACGCGUUUCUGUGGUCUGAGUUAACCCCGUCACUCAGGAAUUUUAUAUACAUUUAUGUUAGAGAAAACACUCACACCUGUAAUCUAAAAAGCCAAGAGAGAUAAUACUCUCUAAAGCAUAUGGCAAGGAGGAAAAAAAAACAGCCCUGGAAAUAUGAUGUUUUAAUGCAAUGGCUUCUUCUCACCCAGAAACGCGUGUUGAGUUCUGGCCGAGAGAAAGAUGCAGGAGAAAUGAAAAAAUGAUAGUAAUACUUUCCUGAAUAAAAUAUAAUUGCUCUGUGAGAUUCCCUGCAACAGGUUAUUACUGAUUUCAAAGUACUUGGCGGAAUUCAUAGAAAACCAGAUGAGAAGAUACCUUCUUGGCCUCGCAGUCAGUCCGCUGUCCUCGCCAGCGCCUUCGGCACAAAGGCUUUUGUGGGUUUUUGCCUCCCCGGUGUCAAGAGUGGCUGCUUCAGGGCUCCAGCCCAGGUCAGGUCUCGUGGCUGUUGCUUCGUGGGGAGAAAGCACAAGGUGUCCCCGGCCCGCGGCGUCCCCAGGCUGGGAGGAGGCAGGAGCCAGCCCCGAGGGCGAGGUACCUUGGCAGGAAGAUGGGGCUUUCACGGCAUUGGGC